rnacentral:rRNA from 1 species
AAUGAACGCUGGCGGCGCGCCUAAUACAUGCAAGCCGAGCGAGAAGACGUAGCAAUACGUUUGUAAAGCGGCGAACGGGUGAGGAAUACAUGGGUAACCUACCCUCGAGUGGGGAAUAACUAGCCGAAAGGUUAGCUAAUACCGCGUACGCUUCUUGGACUUCGGUUCAGGGAGGAAAGCGAUGCCGAGGGUAUCGCGCUCUUGGAUGGGCUCAUGUCCUAUCAGCUUGUUGGUGAGGUAACGGCUCACCAAGGCUUCGACGGGUAGCUGGUCUGAGAGGACGAUCAGCCACACUGGCACUGCGACACGGGCCAGACUCCUACGGGAGGCAGCAGUAAGGAAUAUUGCGCAAUGGGCGAAAGCCUGACGCAGCGACGCCGCGUGGGGGAGUGAAGGUCUUCGGAUUA